rnacentral:rRNA from 1 species
UACGGAGGGUGCAAGCGUUAUCCGGAUUCACUGGGUUUAAAGGGAGCGCAGGCGGAUUGGUAAGUCAGUGGUGAAAUCUUCGAGCUUAACUCGGAAACUGCCAUUGAUACUAUCUGUCUUGAAUACUUUGGAGGUAAGCGGAAUAUGUCAUGUAGCGGUGAAAUGCUUAGAUAUGACAUAGAACACCAAUUGCGAAGGCAGCUUACUACACAGUCAUUGACACUGAGGCACGAAAGCGUGGGGAUCAAACAGG